rnacentral:tRNA from 1 species
CGCGGAGUCGAGUAGUGGUCUAGCUCGCGGGUCUCAUAAGCCCGACCUCCCAUAAGGAGGGCAUCGGUUCGAAUCCGAUCUCCGCAA